GCCCCCGUAGCCCAGCUCGGUAGGGCGGCAGCCUCGUAAGUUGCAAGUCCCGAGUUCGAAUCUCGGCGGGGGCU
rnacentral:tRNA from 1 species